rnacentral:rRNA from 1 species
CGUAGGAACCUGCCAUAACAGUGGGGGGAUAAACGCCGGGGAAACUGGCGCUAAUACCGCAUGUGGUUCAUCGUUUAGGUAGGGUGAAAGAAAGCAGCAAUGCGCUGUAUGAGGGGCCUGCGUCCGAUUAGCUAGUUGGAGUGGUAAGAGCGCACCAAGGCGACGAUCGGUAGCUGGUCUGAGAGGAUGGUCAGCCACACUGGGACUGAGACACGGCCCAG